CAAUCAGGAGCUUCCUACCCUUCACUUUCAGGGUGGAUCCUCUGUGUUCCUUGCUUUUAGGAAAAGAUUACUAAAGGCCAUCCACCCAGCAUGGAUUCCACACCACAGGCCUGAUGAUGAGUGUCUGUAUUUGCUAAGGAACUACCUGGAGCCCUCCACAGAGCAGUCCGUGGGGCUUCACACCCAGCACAAAGCACAACUUGGGGCCUGAACUCACGACCUGAGAUCAAGAUCUGAGCUAGGAUCAAGAGUCAGAUGCUUAAGCAACUGAGCCACCCAGGCACCCAUCAUCUAGAGCUCGGAAACUUCAGGAAAAACAAGCAAUUCCAAAUGACUAGGGCAUGGCAUGUUGGAGAGUCCACUGUAACCCCAUCCCUACCCUAUAAGGCCUGAUAUGAAGUUUAAAGAAGUUUUCCAUCCAAUUAUUGUCUCUCUUGCCAGGAUUUUGGGAUAGUUUGCAGUGACUAACACAAAAGAAGUCCCAUUGAUGCCCCUGAGGCCCUGGCAUUGCCUGGUCCAUGUGAAAACUGCUCAGGAUGUUCCCUGUGACAGUGGCAGCAAAGAAGAAAGACUAUACAGUCCUUCGGCACAGGACGAGCCCACAACAGAUCCAUAACUGUGCCUGCUGCCCAUGCAGUACAACACAAAUAACUCAUUGGGCCUACAAAAAAAGAAAAAAAAAAAACUGAGAAGAAAGAAACAUUGAGAAUGCAUUCCAAUCCACUGAUCAAAUCAUUGAAGGGAAAGUGCACUUUGGAGGACAGCAACAUUUUUACAUGGAAACUCAAAGUGAAAGUGAAGUGGCAAAGGCAGAGGAUUAAAACAUGGACCUAUAUGUGUCAUGCCAGGAUGCAGCAUUUACACAGAGUAAGUGAAGCAAGGUGAAGAGCUCUCCUUGUUGAAAUCAAUGGCAUGCUAGAAGAGACUCAGAAAGGAGAACAAUGCCCACCAGGCAUUCAAACUAGUCAGCUGCUAUGGAAAAUGUCAAGAGGACUGUGAGAUAUCUCAUGACUGAAUUCUAACUA